CUACGGGGCGCACCAGUGGGGGAUAUUGCACAAUGGGCGAAAGCCUGAUGCAGCAACGCCGCGUGAAGGAAGACGGUUUUCGGAUUGUAAACUUCUAUCAGCAGGGAAGAAAAUGACUGUACCUGACUAAGAAGCCCCGGCUAACUACGUGCCAGCAGCCGCGGUAAUACGUAGGGGGCAAGCGUUAUCCGGAAUUACUGGGUGUAAAGGGUACGUAGGCGGCUGAUCAAGUCAGAUGUGAAAGCCCGGAGCUCAACUCCGGGACUGCAUUUGAAACUGGUCGGCUAGAGUGCAGGAGAGGAAAGUGGAAUUCCUAGUGUAGCGGUGAAAUGCGUAGAUAUUAGGAAGAACACCAGUGGCGAAGGCGGCUUUCUGGACUGUAACUGACGCUGAGGUACGAAAGCGUGGGGAGCGAACAGGAUUAGAUACCCCUGUAGUC
rnacentral:rRNA from 1 species